rnacentral:rRNA from 1 species
UACAGAGGGGGCAAGCGUUAUUCGGAAUUAUUGGGCGUAAAGGGCGCGUAGGCGGCCUGGCAAGUGGAAGGUGAAAUCCCUCGGCUUAACCGAGGAACUGCCCUCCAAACUGCUUGGCUUGAGUCCGGGAGAGGUGAGUGGAAUUCCCAGUGUAGCGGUGAAAUACGUAGAUAUCUGGAGGAACACCGGUGGCGAAGGCGGCGACCUGGUCCUAUACUGACACUCAUACACGAAAGCGUGGGGAGCAAACAGG